GUCCCCCCCCGCGCCCGGCCGGGCUGCCGGUGCCACGCGCGGCCUGGUGCAGAUGGAGCCCGAUAAGAUGGGCAGGACGUGUGAUAACUAAUCGCCGUGUUCUGGCUUUACCAACCCAUGUCUUCUGCAGAACCGUGUGCGCUGCGAACAGAUGAAAUGUGCCUGAGCAGAGCAGUCCGCUCUGCCUUACGCAAGUGGUACGAAUUGUAGGCAGUGCCCUUUUUAUUUCGUUGCAGUGGUGAGAGGCUCCUUUUUCCUAGCAGGGUGAUAAAGCAUCAGGGAAGGGACAAGCCGUGUCACUGUCCUGUGACUCGGGUGUAUCAGCCGUUGGUAUCAGAUGUGUUGCUGGUCCGGGUUGUAUUUUUACAGGAAUGAAUGAUAAUUGAUGAUCACAAUAUCACGCCUAGUUUUAUGGGACUAAACGUGACGGACUGCCCGCCGUUUCUGUGGUAUAGGAGAAGCUGGCAUGAAAGGAUCUCCCGACUGCAGGAGCUGCCAGACAAUUUUAUUACCCAUUGUAUUUGAGUGGCACCAAAUCUAGAUGGCUAUCGUUUGAUUGAAAAGGCAAUUCUUGGGCUGGAGUGGGUGUUUUUAUGAAGGAGAGGUGGCGGUUAGCCCUGCUUGUGUUGGUUUCUAAAGCUGUGAGCGUAGCCUGAUUUAAAAUAGAUAGGGGAGAAGCGAGCCUGGGGCCCUUAAGAUAACAACCAUGAGGUUGGAGGAGGGGAGUCUUUUCCUCCCUGGGUUGUUUUCAUAAGCCUGUACCGGAGGACAAGGCCGGCUGACAGCAGCUCAGCUGCAGGAGUCCCUCGGCACCUCGCUCCCCCAGGCUCCCACGAGCGGAACGUGGCUGUGUGUCUGACCCUCCAGCCUGCCCGGGCUCCCGGCAGCUUCUGUCACCUGGAAGAGGAGCGAGGCCAGCUGGGCUUGCUGUGCCAGCACAGGCACCCCAAAACCUUGGUGGCAGUUACGUGCUUUCAGGGAUUUUGGCACAUCAGGAAGUGUGGUCUGGCCUGUGAGCUGUCCUGCCAUGUCCUGGGUAUGUGGCUGAGAAAACCAGGCUGGGGUCUGGCUGCUGCUUUUGUUGUUGUGUGCCGGCCGAUGUCUUUUGUCCCUGCCUCCUUCCUCUACAUAUGCUGGCGCUUGAACAGAAUGUUAAAGAGAAAUGAAUAGAGGGAGAAAUCCCCUGGACAGAGCAGCACAGCUGCUGUCAGUGCUGCCUGGCUCGGUGCUGGAAGGCAUCUCCGAGAGAGGGGUGCUGCAGUGGUGCUCACAUCCAGCUGGUGCUGCGGACCUGACCUGGUAAAGGGUGGUCCAGGUAAGAAAAGGCAUCUGUCACUCGUCUCCCGAGCUGAAGAACUCCUUGUAAAAGGAAGCCUUUGGUGUCUCCACGAUGGCCCAUGGUGGUCCCACGGAUGCAGUGAUGGCAGCAGCCACUCCUGCGGGGAGCAAUGGACCUGUUGUUCUGUGUGUCACUGCAGGUUGUGAUGGUGCUGGGCAUUGGCAGAACAGCACAAUGAUCACCUGAAAACACGAGACUGCCAGUGGAAACAGGGAGAACGAAGAGGGGAAAAGGGACAGGGUGAGGAGGGAUGUGGAGAGGAACACGGUGGUAUUACACAGCUCGGUGGGCUGCGGUUUCAGUAUGCCAACAGCCUGCACCGUUGUUGAGCCUGUGGUAAACAUCUGCGCAGAGGAGAGCACCAAAAGAGGAGGAUCUCCCCCAGGAAGACAUCUAUUAGUAGGCUUCAUUAGCAGUAAAGCUGGGCAGUGGUUGAGAAAGGCGGAUGCUCUGAGAGGCAUUAAGACACUCAGGGACUUUCUGAGUCACGGACAGCAAACGAGCCGUUGCGUUUAGCCGCUGUCGGGCCGUGUUCUUCAGACGCUGUUCCCAUACAUCUGCCUCUUUGUACCUGCGAGCUGUAAGGAAUGGAGUUUAAUCUGUUAGUUACAACCAGCUGUAAAUCAGAUCAACCUGUGAGUUUUUCACAGCGAGGAUGGCUUUGGCGUGGCACAGGUUGCGGACAGUGGUGGGGGAAUCUGCCUCCUCGGAGAUAUUCAGGAGCCAUCUGGACGUGGUCCUGGACAACCAGCUCCUGCUCGUGCAGGGGACUGGGACAGAUGACCUCCAGAGGUCCCUGCCAACCUCCUGCAGCCUGUGACUCCGUGAAAUAAUAUUUACAUAGGCUGCUGGGAGCUCAGGUGCUCUCACACCGGCUUUAAACACCAGCGUGUUUGAAAACUCGCGCCCGUUCGGAGCUGACAGUGUCUGUGUCCUCACAGAGAGCUCUCCUCAUCCCCUCUGGAGCUGGGUGCCUGUGGCACACUCCUGCUUUGCUGGAUGGCUCGUGUUAAAGGCUCUGCUGUGGCAGCCACGGGUCUCCAGCGCCGGCCUUGGGAGCAGAGAGGAGGGAGCCAAACCAGAAGCACCAGCCUCAGUGACAUCAGCCAUUUCCCCCAGCUUCCAGCGUCGCUCGCUUAGGGAGUUCCUGAACACUGAAUUCUUCAGGAGCUACUGGGUUAAUCUCAUCCAUUUAAUUUACUUUUUAGUUGCCUUUUCCAUAAGAGGAAAGGAAAUACGAUGUCCCUUAGGGAAAUUCCACCUCUGUUUUGGGGAAACCCAGGCAGAAAUGAGAGUCGCUGGGCUGAAGGUGGCCCUGACAAAAGCUUCCACAGGUAUUCCCUUCCCCUUCCUCCGUGUGCCUGGGUGGAAAUAAAGACUUGUGGCUUCUUCUGUCUCGUUUGGUUGAAUAAAUAACGUGUCUUCAGAAAAAGACCCUUGAAGGAAGAGUGAAGAGGUUCAUAAGUGAAAUUGCUCUCUGCAGUUCCAGCAUUCUCCUCAAGUUCUGGUCAAAUUCCAUGAGUUGCAAGUGAAUAAACCGAUAUUACAAGCUUCCUACUGGGAUGACAUUUGUCACGUAUUAGUAAUUGUCAAAAAUGAGCCUGUGUUUGUGAAAAUAUCUUGAUGCAUGAGGUAUAAUUACAUGUACCUUAAAAUAAACAGUUCUGGAUACAGUCA